AGUCGCAAGCUCGCGAGAGUAAGCUAAUCUCUUAAAGCGUUCUCAGUUCGGACUGUAGGCUGCAACUCGCCUACACGAAGUCGGAAUCGCUAGUAAUCGCGGAUCAGCAUGCCGCGGUGAAUACGUUCCCGGCCUUGUACACACCGCCCGUCACACCAUGGGAGUUUGUAACGCCCGAAGUCAGUGACCUAACCGCAAGGGAGGAGCUGCCGAAGGUGGGGCCAGUAACUGGGGUGAAGUCGUAACAAGGUACC
rnacentral:rRNA from 1 species